rnacentral:rRNA from 1 species
AGCGAACGCUGGCGGCAGGCCUAACACAUGCAAGUCGAACGAAGUCUUCGGACUUAGUGGCGGACGGGUGAGUAACACGUGAGAACGUGCCCUUAGGUUCGGAAUAACUCAGGGAAACUUGUGCUAAUACCGAAUGUGCCCUUCGGGGGAAAGAUUUAUCGCCUUUAGAGCGGCCCGCGUCUGAUUAGCUAGUUGGUGAGGUAAAGGCUCACCAAGGCGACGAUCAGUAGCUGGUCUGAGAGGAUGAUCAGCCACAUUGGGACUGAGACACGGCCCAAACUCCUACGGGAGGCAGCAGUGGGGAAUCUUGCGCAAUGGGCGAAAGACUGACGCAGCCAUGCCGCGUGAAUGAUGAAGGUCUUAGGAUUGUAAAAUUCUUUCACCGGGGACGAUAAUGACGGUACCCGGAGAAGAAGCCCCGGCUAACUUCGUGCCAGCCGCCGCAGUAA